rnacentral:rRNA from 1 species
AGGACGAACGCUGGCGGCACGCUUAACACAUGCAAGUCGAACGGAGUUUGGAACUUGUUCCAAAACUUAGUGGCGGACGGGUGAGUAACACGUGAGCAACCUACCUCUGAGAGCGGAAUAGCUUCUGGAAACGGAUGGUAAUACCGCAUGACAUUACGGAACCGCAUGAUUCUGUAAUCAAAUGAAUUUCGCUCAGAGAUGGGCUCGCGCCUGAUUAGCUAGAUGGUGAGGUAACGGCCCACCAUGGCGACGAUCAGUAGCCGGACUGAGAGGUUGAACGGCCACAUUGGGACUGAGACACGGCCCAGACUCCUACGGGAGGCAGCAGUGGGGAAUAUUGCACAAUGGGCGAAAGCCCUGAUGCAGCGAUGCCGCGUGGAGGAAGAAGGUUUUCGGAUUGUAAACUCCUUUUUCAGGGACGAUAAUGACGGUACCUGAAGAAGAAGCUCCGGCUAACUACGUGCCAGCCGCGGC